GAUGAACGCUGGCGGCGUGCCUAACACAUGCAAGUCGAGCGAUCUUCUUCGGAAGAGAGCGGCGGACGGGUGAGUAACGCGUGGGUAACCUGCCCUGUACACACGGAUAACAUACCGAAAGGUAUGCUAAUACGGGAUAACAUAAGAAAGUCGCAUGGAUUUCUUAUCAAAGCUUUUGCGGUACAGGAUGGACCCGCGUCUGAUUAGCUAGUUGGUAAGGUAACGGCUUACCAAGGCGACGAUCAGUAGCCGACCUGAGAGGGUGAUCGGCCACAUUGGAACUGAGACACGGUCCAAACUCCUACGGGAGGCAGCAGUGGGGAAUAUUGCACAAUGGGCGAAAGCCUGAUGCAGCAACGCCGCGUGAGCGAUGAAGGCCUUCGGGUCGUAAAGCUCUGUCCUCAAGGAAGAUAAUGACGGUACUUGAGGAGGAAGCCCCGGCUAACUACGUGCCAGCAGCCGCGGUAAUACGUAGGGGGCUAGCGUUAUCCGGAAUUACUGGGCGUAAAGGGUGCGUAGGCGGUCUUUCAAGUCAGAAGUGAAAGGCUACGGCUCAACCGUAGUAAGCUUUUGAAACUGUAAGACUUGAGUGCAGGAGAGGAGAGUGGAAUUCCUAGUGUAGCGGUGAAAUGCGUAGAUAUUAGGAGGAACACCAGUUGCGAAGGCGGCUCUCUGGACUGUAACUGACGCUGAGGCACGAAAGCGUGGGGAGCAA
rnacentral:rRNA from 1 species